AUUGAACGCUGGCGGCAGGCCUAACACAUGCAAGUCGAGCGGGGUUUUCGGACCUAGCGGCGGACCGGUGAGUAAUGCGUAGGAAGCUACCCGAUAGAGGGGGAUACCAGUUGGAAACGACUGUUAAUACCGCAUAAUGUCUACGGACCAAAGUGUGGGACCUUCGGGCCACAUGCUAUCGGAUGCGCCUACGUGGGAUUAGCUAGUUGGUGAGGUAAUGGCUCACCAAGGCGACGAUCCCUAGCUGGUUUGAGUGGAUGAUCAGCCACACUGGAACUGAGACACGGUCCAGGGUCCUACAGGAGGCAGGAGUGGGGAAUAUUGGACAAUGGGCGCAAGCCUGAUCCAGCCAUGCCGCGUGUGUGAAGAAGGCCUUCGGGUUGUAAAGCACUUUCAGUAGGGAGGAAGCGUUGUGUGUUAAUAGUACACAGCGUUGACGUUACCUACAGAAGAAGCACCGGCUAACUCUGUGCCAGCCGCCGCCGUAACAC
rnacentral:rRNA from 1 species